GACGAACCGCCCGAACGUUAUUCGGAAUCACUGGGCUUAAAGGGAGCGUAGGCGGGCUGCCAAGUCCGGGGUGAAAUCCUCCAGCUUAACUGGAGAACUGCCUCGGAUACUGGAAGUCUCGAGGAGGGUAGGGGCAAGUGGAACCGUGGGUGGAGCGGUGAAAUGCGUUGAUAUCCAUGGGAACUCCGGUGGCGAAGGCGACUUGCUGGACCCUUUCUGACGCUGAGGCGCGAAAGCGUGGGUAGCAAACGGG
rnacentral:rRNA from 1 species